GGGGUUGUAGCUCAGUGGCAGAGCACUGGCCUCACACACAUGAGGCCCUGGGUUCAAACCCCAGCACCA
rnacentral:tRNA from 1 species